rnacentral:rRNA from 1 species
UACAGAGGGCUCAAGCGUUGUCCGGAUUUAUUGGGCGUAAAGAGCGUGUAGGCGGCCAGACAGGUCCGUUGUGAAAACUCGAGGCUCAACCUCGAGACGCCGAUGGAAACCGUUUGGCUAGAGUCCGGAAGAGGAGAGUGGAAUUCCUGGUGUAGCGGUGAAAUGCGCAGAUAUCAGGAAGAACACCCGUGGCUAAGGCGGCUCUCUAGUACGGUACUGACGCUGAGACGCGAAAGCGUGGGGAGCGAACAGG